AGCAAUCCAUGAGUAAAGUGGCGACCGGGUGAGUAACACGUGACUAACCUACCCUAAAGUGGGGAAUAACCUCGGGAAACCGGGGCUAAUACCGCAUAACAUUGCGGGGCUGAAAUGCCCUGCAUUCAAAGGAGCAAUUCGCUUUAGGAGGGGGUCGCGGUUGAUUAGCUAGUUGGUGAGGUAACGGCUCACCAAGGCGAUGAUCAAUAGCCGGCCUGAGAGGGCGCACGGCCACACUGGAACUGAAACACGGUCCAGACUCCUACGGGAGGCAGCAGUGGGGAAUUUUGCGCAAUGGGGGAAACCCUGACGCAGCAACGCCGCGUGGAGGAUGAAGUCCCUUGGGAUGUAAACUCCUUUCGACCGGGACGAUUAUGACGGUACCGGGAGAAGAAGCCCCGGCUAACUUCGUGCCAGCGGCCGCGGUAAUACGAGGGGGGCAAGCGUUGUUCGGAAUUAUUGGGCGUAAAGGGAGCGUAGGCGGUUCGGUAAGUCACUUGUGAAAUCUCUGGGCUCAACCCAGAGUCUGCAAGCGAAACUGCCGGGCUGGAGUAUGGGAGAGGUGAGUGGAAUUCCUGGUGUAGCGGUGAAAUGCGUAGAUAUCAGGAGGAACACCUGUGGCGAAAGCGGCUCACUGGACCAUUACUGACGCUGAUGCUCGAAAGCUAGGGGAGCAAACAGGAUUAGAUACCCUGGUAGU
rnacentral:rRNA from 1 species